rnacentral:rRNA from 1 species
GACGGACGCUGGCGGCGUGCCUAAUACAUGCAAGUUGAGCGAUGAAGAUUGGUGCUUGCACCAAUUUGAAGAGCAGCGAACGGGUGAGUAACGCGUGGGGAAUCUGCCUUUGAGCGGGGGACAACAUUUGGAAACGAAUGCUAAUACCGCAUAACAACUUUAAACAUAAGUUUUAAGUUUGAAAGAUGCAAUUGCAUCACUCAAAGAUGAUCCCGCGUUGUAUUAGCUAGUUGGUGAGGUAAAGGCUCACCAAGGCGAAGAUACAUAGCCGACCUGAGAGGGUGGUCGGCCAAAUUGGGACUGAGACACGGCCCAAACCCCUUCGGGAAGCAGCAGUAGGGAAUCUUCGGCAAUGGACGGAAGGCUGGACGAGGAAAGCCGGGUGAGGGAAGGAAGUUUUCGGAUCGUAAAACUCUGUUGGUAGAGAAGAACGUUAGUGAGAGUGGAAAGCUCAUCAAGUGACGGUAACUAACCAGAAAGGGACGGCUAACUACGUG